UAGUGAUCCGGUGGUUCUGAAUGGAAGGGCCAUCGCUCAACGGAUAAAAGGUACUCCGGGGAUAACAGGCUGAUACCGCCCAAGAGUUCAUAUCGACGGCGGUGUUUGGCACCUCGAUGUCGGCUCAUCACAUCCUGGGGCUGAAGUAGGUCCCAAGGGUAUGGCUGUUCGCCAUUUAAAGUGGUACGCGAGCUGGGUUUAGAACGUCGUGAGACAGUUCGGUCCCUAUCUGCCGUGGGCGCUGGAGAACUGAGGGGGGCUGCUCCUAGUACGAGAGGACCGGAGUGGACGCAUCACUGGUGUUCGGGUUGUCAUGCCAAUGGCACUGCCCGGUAGCUAAAUGCGGAAGAGAUAAGUGCUGAAAGCAUCUAAGCACGAAACUUGCCCCGAGAUGAGUUCUCCCUGACUCCUUGAGAGUCCUGAAGGAACGUUGAAGACGACGACGUU
rnacentral:rRNA from 1 species